GAUGAACGCUGGCGGCGUGCCUAAUACAUGCAAGUCGAGCGAACAGUCGAGGAGCUUGCUCCUCUGACGUUAGCGGCGGACGGGUGAGUAACACGUGGAUAACCUACCUAUAAGACUGGGAUAACUUCGGGAAACCGGAGCUAAUACCGGAUAAUAUAUUGAACCGCAUGGUUCAAUAGUGAAAGACGGUUUUGCUGUCACUUAUAGAUGGAUCCGCGCCGCAUUAGCUAGUUGGUAAGGUAACGGCUUACCAAGGCAACGAUGCGUAGCCGACCUGAGAGGGUGAUCGGCCACACUGGAACUGAGACACGGUCCAGACUCCUACGGGAGGCAGCAGUAGGGAAUCUUCCGCAAUGGGCGAAAGCUUGACGGAGCAACGCCGCGUGAGUGAUGAAGGUCUUCGGAUCGUAAAACUCUGUUAUUAGGGAAGAACAAAUGUGUAAGUAACUAUGCACGUCUUGACGGUACCUAAUCAGAAAGCCACGGCUAACUACGU
rnacentral:rRNA from 1 species